ensembl:snoRNA
AUGCAUAUUUCAUUGACCUGCUUUCUCAUACAUAUGAGUAGUGUUAUUUAUGAGCUAUACAAAUAGUUGAAGGUUAAUUAGCAGUAUAACUAAAUAGUAAGGCAGCCUCCUUUAACUAAUU